rnacentral:lncRNA from 1 species
AUUCAGAAAAAUUAAUAUUUCAACUUAUAUCCCAAUUAUGAUUCAGAAUUCUGUUCACAAAACACUCAUGACUUUGUCUAGUUUUAAGUCCAUGAAAUAUAUCCUUUACUCUCCUGUGUGUUUUUAGAUGGAAUUUUGUACAGUUAGUAAAAGCAAAUUGAAGAAAAACCUCAAAAGCAAAUAUGCUGCUCUGAUGUUACUGAUAUAUAAAGUUGAACUCUGAAUUCCAGUAACUAAAAGAAAUGCUUAUUGGAAAAUGGUUUUAUGAGUUUUGACUGAGUAUAUACAACCUUUACCUCCAAUUGAAGCAGUUUGCUUUACAAGUGUACAGAAUUCAUUAAAAUAAGCAAAACAUGUUUAGUAUCAAGAAAGUGAAGACACAGGUUUUUAAUACAAUUAAUUAUCUAAUCCUCCAGUGAUGACUUUCAGAAUGACACCUUCAUCUGGAAAUCCAAGGCUACAUGAUAAAUUCUGUCAUCAACAAAAACAGGAACCAAUAUACUCUUUAAAACUUGGUAGUGUGAUUUGUGAUAUGAUUAGAUGUGACUUAUAAUAUAUGGAAGAUUUAUUAAAAAUUACUUUUUUUUUUUUUUUUUGCUUUUUAGGGCUGCACCCAUGACAUAUGGAAGUUCCCAGCCUAAGGGUGUAAUUCGAGCUGUAGCUGCUGGCCUAUGCCACAGCCUCAGCAACGUGGGAUCCAAGUUGAAUCUGCAUCCUACACCGUAGUUCACGGCAACGCCGGAUCCUUGACCCACUGAGUGAGGCCAGGGGUGGAACCCACAUCUUCAUGGAUACUAGUCUGAUUCAUUUCUGCUGUGGCACAAUGGGAACUCCAAAAGUUACAUUUUAAUCGCAAGAAAUGAUCAUAUUACCUUUUAUAAUAAUGAUAUCAAAUGUUAAUGAUAAAUUAUAUUUAAAAAUAUAUCAAGUGGAAUGUCCUUUUAACACUGAGGAUUCAUCUAACACCUGUUUUGUAGUUAUCAGUGCCACAAUGAAUCGUUACUGUAUAAAUCUUAUGUUUUAAGAGUAUAAACUGAUUGUGGCAUACCUUCUUAUAGUAAGAGUGAAUGAUUAUAAGUUUUGAUGUACAUGCAUAAACAUGUAUGUGCAUAUAUGUAUAUAUAGUUAGAUAGAAAGAGUGAGAGAGACAGAGAGGGACAGAGACAGAGAGAGAUAUAUCCACUGUGGGCUAUGUGUGUAUAUACAUAUAUACAUAAUAAAGUAUGGAAAUAGAUAUUUAGAUAUAGACAUAUCACUACAUGUCUGCUCAUAGGUUUUUCAUUUAAAUUGCUCAAUUAAAAGCAGAUUUUGUGGCUUUAUAGAAUUAGCUUAACUGUUAGUUUUUUAUUGCCACUCAUCCUAAAUAAUUUUAACCAAGAUUUCUUUGAAUUAUUUGUUUCCCUUUCUUAUCUUACCUGCUAUUAACUGGAUAAUUAUUGGGUUACUCCAUUCAACUCUGAAAGAAAUUCUUCUGGAAAAUUUUCACUUAGGUUAAUAGGAAGGCAGAAGACAAGAAGGAUGUUUAGUAGUCAUUCAUGUCUUAGCAUGAUUUAGCUUAAUUAGCUUCAUAGGCAGUGUUGGUAUGGAACAAGACAGAUAAUAAUGCAUAUCUUGCAGAGCUUUUAACCAGUUAACAUUUACUGACUGCCUGUAAAAUUCCAGGCACUGCACUAGACAUACAGACUUUACCUCCAACAGUCUUUAUCUUACUGUUAAUAAGACGAGAUGAAAUUCUGGGUGACGUAGAAAGGAGAGUGCUCUAGACCUGGAGGGAGUCACUUUGUUCUGUGGAGUGAACCACGCAAACCUGGAUUCAAAGCUAUAUCUCUAUUCCUGUUUGCCCCUGUGAUGGUGGGGACAAACACAUCACCUCAGAAUUUAGACCUCCACAAAAAAGAUAUGGAACUAUCUGCCGUGCAGGGUUUCUGGGAGCAUGUGAUUAUUACACACAUAGCAGGUGCUUAAUUGUGAUAGGUAUUACUGUGGAAGAUAGAGAAGGGAAGAGCAGUUGUACAUUUCCAUAUGAUGAUUAUAAUUAAAAUAAAUGUUUGUGAACAAAUAGGUAGUAUAUGAAGAAUACAGGAUUACUUUAUUUAUUGUAAUGACCAGUGAGUAUCUUAUUAAGCAAGAAAAAUGUUACUAUUUAAGUCAUAUUUAUUACAAGUAAGAUUAUUUUAUUUCCUGUUGGUGGAAUCUUAUCUCUUUUUUCCUUGUUAGCUGGGCUCAUCUAUCUUUUAACAGAUGUACUCUCCAACGGUGAUACAGAACAACACAAACUUACCUGCAACAAGGUUAUGCUUUCUAAUUAGCCAUACACCUUACUGUUAAUAGUUGUGGAUGACCUUUAAAUGUGUAAAACAGUAACACACACCUGUGAAUCACAUUUUGGUACUGUGAUAGCUGAAAUCAGGAUAUCAUUGCUUUUAUCAAGAUAUUUUACCCAUAUUUAAGAAGAAUAAAAAAUUAAAAAUCUACUCCUUCACACUUGAAUAUACAGGAUCAAAGUAUUUUAAGCACCUUUUAGCACAAUGAGCAGACUAAGCAAUGAUUGUAUAACUUGCAGAAGUUUGAAAAAACUAUAAGAAUGGUCCUAAAAUUGUUUUCUUUCUUGACUCUAUUAUUUUUGAGAACAAGGAAAGGAGGGUACUGAGUGCAGUUGGUAAGGUUGAAUUCUAAUGCUUGCACUUCCAUUAAGUUGAAACUGUUGAAACACAGCCCCAUUCUUAACUCCCAACGUGUCUGUGGCCUCAUUUAUAAAAAGAAAUUGAAGGUAGAACUUUCUUUUUUUGCUUUCUGGUUUUUUUUUUUUUUUGGUUUAACUAAAAAUGUUUUAUUUCUCUUUUAUUUUUGAAGGAUAUAUUUAUAGGAUUAGAGCACCUAAGUUGACAGUUUUUUUUUUUAAUUUAAGAAUUUUAAAGGCUUUGUUCUCCAUGAAUUUAAUGAAAACUAUAAAAGAGUUUUCUGAAAUUAAAUUGGCACAAAAAAUAAGUUUUUCAAAAUUCACAGAAAUUUUUAAAAGGUUAAACACACUGUUAGUAUUGAAAUAUAUGGCUUAGAAAGCAAAAAUAUUGUAAGACGAAACUUUGUCUAGAUUGAAUAUCUGGUGAAAAGUAGGCAAGAUAUAGAUGUUAAAUGACUUUUAAUAUUUUGUACCUUAAAUUUGAUCAAAGUAAUUAGUGUAGACCACAUAUGUACUGGUGUUUUUGCAACUAAUAACUGUGAUAAUAAAUUUUAUCAAAAAUGAGAAUAUAUUGGGCAAAUUGUCCAUUGAGUGUCAUAUGAUACACUAUUUAGUGACAAUUCCUUUGACAAGAACACUUCACAAAUUUAAUUCUGCUAUUCUAAAUACAGCCACUCUGUAGGCUUAUAGAGUUCUAAAGUAGUUGUCUGAAGUAAAGCAAAAGGUAGCAGUUUCAAGAAAAUUGUUGCAUUUCAAAACAUGAUUUUCUAAUUACACCAAAUGCUCUGAAAAAAAUUAAAAUAAGCCUUUUAGAGGCUGCAGUAGACAUACAUUUAAAUAUAAUUUUAAAACUUUUAUGUAUUAAUGUUAAAUUGCAAUGCAUUAUUAAGUACUAGCACAGUAUCUUACACACAGUAGGCUCAGGAAACCUUAAAAUGUAAUUCAAUUAUUUUUCCACAAUGCUUACUGUGCUAUUUUUUGAACUUGUUACAUAGGUUACAAUUUGUCUUUUUGUUAUAUUGUUUCAGUCAGUACAAUGAAUUGGACUUUUCUACACAUUUAUUAGACUGGAUUUUUGCCUCCUUUGUCAUUUGCUAUAAAUAGGAAUUCUGUUUAUUUAGAAGAUAAAGGGAAGGAAACUCCGAUAUGGCACACUAAAAGAAAGGAUAAAUUCUAUGGAAUGAUUGAUUGCCAGAUAAAAUGCACAUUUUAGGAUGAUACUAUGUAUUUUCAUCCUAAAAUGUUUGAUCUAAUCUUUAAUUCUGAGAGCAUUAGAAGUCUGUAUUAUAAAACAUUUAUUUAUACAUUCAUUUAUAUGUGUGUUUAUAAUAUGGAAUAUGGAAUUUACAUUAUCAUGAAUUUUAAAUCUUAUGUCUUAUAAAUGUAUUAGACUUUGGAGAUAAGUUAGAUGUUCUAAUUUUCUGGAUAAUAACUCUUUCAUAAGAGGGAAAUAAAGCAGUAUCUAUUUGUGCCUUUUCUAAUAAAGAGUGAUGCCCUCAUUCAAUUUUUUUUUUUUAUUUUCUCUCCAUUAGAACAAAAAGUAUUCCUAGCAGAAAUUCUGGAGGGCAAAUUUCAGUUGUGUCUAGCAUAUACCACAUAUUAUAAUGCUUACAGGAUAACUUUGGUUUGGGAUCUGAAUCUGCCACCAUAGUAACUGUGUGAUCUUGGGUGAUUUCUUAACCAUCAUGUAAGAUGGAGAUUACAGUAUCUAACUCACAACUUUGUGAUUAGAGAUUAAAUACAGUAAUGUAUGAAAAGUACUUAGUAGCACAGUGCCUGGCACAUAAAUCAUAGCUCUUAAGAUUAAUAUUUCCAAUGACUCCAAAGAAGAAAACCUGAAAAGAUUCCAUGUAAAACUGUGAAAUACAGAAAUAAAACUCUCUUCAAAUACUGCCAGCUCAAAAACAAUUUCUUCUUAAUAUAUUUGAAGAAAAUGUGUUUUUCCCCAAAAUAUCUGAAUACUGGACUUAUUCAGUAUGCUUUGAGUAUAAAUGAAUAGAUAAGUUCUAAAAUGUAUUUUUUUAGUCUUUCUGAUACAUGUAUAUUAUUUUAAGUAUUUUUCACUAACAGUUUUAUUUUAUACUUAAAGUGAUUUAAAUAGGUAUAUAUAAAUGUAACAGUGUUGGGAGUUCCUGUUGUGGCUCAGCAGUAAUGAAUCCAAUUAGUAUCCAUGAGGAUGCAGGUUCAGUUCCUGGCCUUGCUCAGUGUGUUAAGGAUCUGGCGUUGCCCUGAGCUGUGGUGCAGUUCGCAGACAUGUCUCGGAUCCGAUCUGGCGUUGCUGUGACUUUGGCGCAGGCCAGCUG